rnacentral:rRNA from 1 species
GACGAACGCUGGCGGCGUGCUUAACACAUGCAAGUCGAACGGAAAGGCCCUGCUUUUGUGGGGUGCUCGAGUGGCGAACGGGUGAGUAACACGUGAGUAACCUGCCCUUGACUUUGGGAUAACUUCAGGAAACUGGGGCUAAUACCGGAUAGGAGCUCCUGCUGCAUGGUGGGGGUUGGAAAGUUUCGGCGGUUGGGGAUGGACUCGCGGCUUAUCAGCUUGUUGGUGGGGUAGUGGCUUACCAAGGCUUUGACGGGUAGCCGGCCUGAGAGGGUGACCGGCCACACUGGGUCUGAGAUACGGCCCAGACUCCUACGGGAGGCAGCAGUGGGGAAUAUUGCACAAUGGGCGGAAGCCUGAUGCAGCAACGCCGCGUGCGGGAUGACGGCCUUCGGGUUGUAAACCGCUUUCGCCUGUGACGAAGCGUGAGUGACGGUAAUGGGUAAAGAAGCACCGGCUAACUACGUG